UGGCCUCCGCUGAGACAGCUGCUGCAAGACAGUAAAGAUUCUCCUCAGGACCCAUCCCCACCACCUCUCUUUGCUUCUAGACCUACAAGAAGACUCAAGUCCCAACAGGCCCCUAAAAGUGAGUUGGGAAACUGAAGCACAGAAGGAGUCGGCAACUUAUUGAAGGAUAAGAAAAAUGUUUUAUGGACCAGAUGUAAUUUGACCAUAAAAGUUCCUCUUAAAGGAAACCACAAGGUGCUACACUGGAGAUAUCUUAAUGACAGUUCUGUCAUGAGAAAUAUAAG